ACUACCGUAGCUCAGUUGGUAGAGCAUCGGCGUACAAAUCUGGAGGUCUCGGGUUUAAAUCUCGCCGGUACUC
rnacentral:tRNA from 1 species